rnacentral:rRNA from 1 species
UACGUAGGCAGCGAGCGUUUGUUCGGAAUUACUGGGCGUAAAGAGUGUGUAGGCGGUGCUCUAAGUUCGGUGUGAAAUCUCCUGCUUAACUGGGAGGGUGCGCCGGAAACUGGAGUGCUCGAGCGUGGGAGAGGAAAGCGGAAUUCCUGGUGUAGCGGUGAAAUGCGUAGAUAUCAGGAGGAACACCUGUGGUGUAGACGGCUUUCUGGACCAUAGCUGACGCUGAGACACGAAAGCGUGGGUAGCAAACAGG